rnacentral:rRNA from 1 species
UACGGGGGGAGCAAGCGUUGUUCGGAUUUACUGGGCGUAAAGGGCGCGUAGGCGGCCACCGCAAGUCGACUGUGAAAUCUCCGGGCUUAACCCGGAAAGGUCAGCCGAUACUGCGGGGCUAGAGUGCAGAAGGGGCAACUGGAAUUCUCGGUGUAGCGGUGAAAUGCGUAGAUAUCGAGAGGAACACCUGAGGUGAAGACGGGUUGCUGGGCCGACACUGACGCUGGAGCGCGAAAGCCAGGGGAGCAAACGGG